GCUCAGUAACACGUGGACAACGUACCCUAAAGUGGAGCAUAAUCUCGGGAAACUGAGGAUAAUUCUCCAUAGACCAUGAGAUCUGGAAUGACUUAUGGUUCAAAGUUCCGGCGCUUUAGGAUCGGUCUGCGGCCUAUCAGGUAGUAGUGGGUGUAACGUACCCCCUAGCCGUUGACGGGUAUGGGCCUUGAGAGAGGGAGCCCAGAGUUGGAUUCUGAGACACGAAUCCAGGCCCUACGGGGCGCAGCAGUCGCGAAAACUUCACAAUGGGCGAAAGCCCGAUGAGGGAAUUCCUAGUGCUAGCACUUUUGUGCUAGCUUUUCUUCAGCGUAGAUAACUGGAGGAAUAAGGGCUGGGUAAGACGGGUGCCAGCCGCCGCGGUAAUACCCGCAGCCCGAGUGGUGGUCGAUUUUAUUGAGUCUAAAACGUUCGUAGCCGGUCUAAUAAAUCCUUGGGUAAAUCGGAAGGCUUAACUUUCCGAAUUCCGAGGAGACUGUUAGGCUUGGGAUCGGGAGAGGUAAGAGGUACUUCAGGGGUAGGGGUAAAAUCCUGUAAUCCUUGGAGGACCACCGGUGGCGAAGGCGUCUUACUAGAACGAAUCCGACGGUGAGGGACGAAGCCCUAGGUCGCAAACGGGAUUAGAUACCCCGGUAGUCUAGGGUGUAAACGCUGCAGACUUGGUGUUGGGGGCCCUUCGGGGGCAUUCAGUGCCGGAGAGAAGUUGUUAAGUCUGCUACUUGGGGAGUACGUCCGCAAGGAUGAAACUUAAAGGAAUUGGCGGGGGAGCACCGCAACGGG
rnacentral:rRNA from 1 species